AACGAACGCUGGCGGCAUGCCUAACACAUGCAAGUCGAACGAGACCAUCGGGUCCAGUGGCGCACGGGUUUGUCACGCGUGGGAACCUUCCCUUAGGUUCGGCAUAACUCUACGACAGGGGUGCCAAUACCGGAUAAUGUCUUCGGACCAAAGAUUUAUCGAAUUUGGUUGGGCUAGAGUUGGAUUAGCUAGUUGUUAGGGUAAAAGCAUACCAAGGCGACGAUCCAUAGAUUGUUUGAGAGAAUGAUCAGCCACACUUGGACUAGGACGCGGCCCAGACUCCUACGGGAGGCAGGAAUGGCGAAUGUAGGACAAUGGGGGAAAGCAUGAUCCACCUAUGCCGCGUGAGUGAUGAAGGCCUUAGGGUUGUAAAGCUCUUUUACCCGGGAUGAUAAUGACAGUACCGAGAGAAUAAGCUCCGGCUAACUCCGUG
rnacentral:rRNA from 1 species